GAUGAACGCUGGCGGCGUGCCUAAUACAUGCAAGUCGAGCGAACAGAUAAGGAGCUUGCUCCUUUGACGUUAGCGGCGGACGGGUGAGUAACACGUGGAUAACCUACCUAUAAGACUGGGAUAACUUCGGGAAACCGGAGCUAAUACCGGAUAACAUAUUGAACCGCAUGGUUCAAUAGUGAAAGGCGGCUUUGCUGUCACUUAUAGAUGGAUCCGCGCCGUAUUAGCUAGUUGGUAAGGUAACGGCUUACCAAGGCAACGAUACGUAGCCGACCUGAGAGGGUGAUCGGCCACACUGGAACUGAGACACGGUCCAGACUCCUACGGGAGGCAGCAGUAGGGAAUAUUCCGCAAUGGGCGAAAGCCUGACGGAGCAACGCCGCGUGAGUGAUGAAGGUCUUCGGAUCGUAAAACUCUGUUAUCAGGGAAGAACAAAUGUGUAAGUAACUGUGCACAUCUUGACGGUACCUGAUCAGAAAGCAACGGCUAACUACGUG
rnacentral:rRNA from 1 species